CACAGCUGAUGGGAUAGAAUCGAAUGCGCCAUCGCGCACAUUGCAUGAACCGCCUUCCCCUCAGAUCACCACCCAUCAGCCUUGCCCCGCCAGCGUUCCAGGGCCUAGCGCCCUCGUUUCCAUGGCCAAUAUUCGCUAGGCAUAGCAGGUUUGCGCAAAGCGCAAUGGCGCCUCAUGUUGGCAGCAAACAAACUUAAAUAUUGGAUGAGCAGGGCAUCGUGUACGUUCGCCCCUGUAAAAGCACACUCGUGUUGCACAAUCCCCUGUCCAAGUCAGCAGUCGCAAACAUGCAAAUCAAUAAUCACCCUGAAGCCAUCACCAUCCCAGGACAGUCCCCUGGCGUCGCCACGCGGGCGCCC
rnacentral:lncRNA from 1 species